UUUUGUAUAUUUGUUACGCGAUUACUCCGCCAAAUAUGAACCGAUUUUGAUAUUUCUUUAUUAGUCUAAGUAGAUCAUACUUCAGAGGUGGCCCAUUUUAGUUUGAUGAAGAUCUGGUGAAUAUCUUCGGAGAUGGAGAACAGAAUUCCUCAAUGAAUAAGACUUAAUUGCUCGCGAUCAGUGUAAUAGCUUAGUAAACAGUGUGUUUUUAAUCAGGCAAAGCAUAUAUUAAUACAGUGGGACCACU